UUUUUUUUUUUUUAAUUUUUGGAAUAAUCUAUAAAUUCACUAGCCAAAGGCAUACUAUCGUUGGCAUUUUGCCAUUGACAUCGUUAUUUACCAGGUGGACCUAGCCAAACAUGGGGACCAGAAAUGGAGGCCAGUUUAGACCUGGCCAAACAUGGGGACCAGAUUUGGUCUCGGUUUUUAUCAAAUCCAACGGUUGAUUUUUUUUUUUUUUGGUGAAAA
rnacentral:misc_RNA from 1 species